UACGUAGGGGGCGAGCGUUGUCCGGAAUUAUUGGGCGUAAAGAGCUCGUAGGCGGCUUGGCAAGUCGGAUGUGAAAACUCCAGGCUCAACCUGGAGCCGCCAUUCGAUACUGCUAUGGCUAGAGUCCGGUAGGGGAGUGUGGAAUUCCCGGUGUAGCGGUGAAAUGCGCAGAUAUCGGGAGGAACACCGAUGGCGAAGGCAGCACUCUGGGCCGGCACUGACGCUGAGGAGCGAAAGCAUGGGGAGCGAACAGG
rnacentral:rRNA from 1 species